CCUUAUGAAAACAUUCUCUCAGUGAUAUUAGUAAACCUACAGUAGUGUAUCAUGUCUCGCGAUUGGAGGGACAAUUUUAGUAAACAAUCGAAUAAUUUCGACAUUAGAAAUGUAAAAAUUCAUUCCAAAGAACGAACAUAUUCAUCAGAUACAUCAAAUAUAAUCGAAAGAGAAACAACAGCCGUUUCACAUAAUAGUCAGACUUACUUCUAUGCAGAUUCGAAAUCGUGCAAAGUUCAAUCGAAUGAUCCGAGUGAUUUGUAUCGAGCCUUAGAUAUAACUUUCAAAGCAAAACCUUCAAUUUUCGGUAAAUUGGUCACUGCUAUUAAUACCUUACUGGGAUAUUCUUUUGAAGAAGACGAUACGACGGCACUUGUGAAUAGUGAGAAAAACAGAUUCAAUAAAGGCAGCUCCAAGCCCAAAAUGUGAAUAGUCAAAAAAUAAAGGAAAGCUAAGUUGUAAGUAA